GACGAACGCUGGCGGCGUGCUUAACACAUGCAAGUCGAACGGAAAGGCCCUGCUUUUGUGGGGUGCUCGAGUGGCGAACGGGUGAGUAACACGUGAGUAACCUGCCCUUGACUUUGGGAUAACUUCAGGAAACUGGGGCUAAUACCGGAUAGGAGCUCCUGCUGCAUGGUGGGGGUUGGAAAGUUUCGGCGGUUGGGGAUGGACUCGCGGCUUAUCAGCUUGUUGGUGGGGUAGUGGCUUACCAAGGCUUUGACGGGUAGCCGGCCUGAGAGGGUGACCGGCCACAUUGGGACUGAGAUACGGCCCAGACUCCUACGGGAGGCAGCAGUGGGGAAUAUUGCACAAUGGGCGGAAGCCUGAUGCAGCAACGCCGCGUGCGGGAUGACGGCCUUCGGGUUGUAAACCGCUUUCGCCUGUGACGAAGCGUGAGUGACGGUAAUGGGUAAAGAAGCACCGGCUAACUACGUGCCAGCGGCCGCGGUGAUACGUAGGGUGCGAGCGUUGUCCGGAUUUAUUGGGCGUAAAGGGCUCGUAGGUGGUUGAUCGCGUCGGAAGUGUAAUCUUGGGGCUUAACCCUGAGCGUGCUUUCGAUACGGGUUGACUUGAGGAAGGUAGGGGGAGAUGGAAUUCCUGGUGGAGCGUGGAAUGCGCAGAUAUCAGGAGGAACACCAGUGGCGAAGGCGGUCCUCUGGGCCUUUCCUGACGCUGAGGAGCGAAAGCGUGGGGAGCGAACAGGCUUAGAUACCCUGGUAGUCCACGCUGUAAACGGUGGGUACUAGGUGUGGGGUCCAUUCCACGGGUUCCGUGCCGUAGCUAACGCUUUAAGUACCCCGCCUGGGGAGUACGGCCGCAAGGCUAAAACUCAAAGGAAUUGACGGGGCCCCGCACAAGCGGCGGAGCAUGCGGAUUAAUUCGAUGCAACGCGUAGAACCUUACCUGGGUUUGACAUGGAUCGGGAGCGCUCAGAGAUGGGUGUGCCUCUUUUGGGGUCGGUUCACAGGUGGUGCAUGGCUGUCGUCAGCUCGUGUCGUGAGAUGUUGGGUUAAGUCCCGCAACGAGCGCAACCCUUGUUCACUGUUGCCAGCACGUUAUGGUGGGGACUCAGUGGAGACCGCCGGGGUCAACUCGGAGGAAGGUGGGGAUGACGUCAAGUCAUCAUGCCCCUUAUGUCCAGGGCUUCACGCAUGCUACAAUGGCUGGUACAGAGAGUGGCGAGCCUGUGAGGGUGAGCGAAUCUCGGAAAGCCGGUCUCAGUUCGGAUUGGGGUCUGCAACUCGACCUCAUGAAGUCGGAGUCGCUAGUAAUCGCAGAUCAGCAACGCUGCGGUGAAUACGUUCCCGGGGCU
rnacentral:rRNA from 1 species